rnacentral:rRNA from 1 species
UACGAAGGGGGCUAGCGUUGCUCGGAAUCACUGGGCGUAAAGCGCACGUAGGCGGAUUGCUAAGUCAGGGGUGAAAUCCUGGAGCUCAACUCCAGAACUGCCUUUGAUACUGGCGAUCUCGAGUCCGGGAGAGGUGAGUGGAACUGCGAGUGUAGAGGUGAAAUUCGUAGAUAUUCGCAAGAACACCAGUGGCGAAGGCGGCUCACUGGCCCGGUACUGACGCUGAGGUACGAAAGCUAGGGGAGCGAACGGG